ACACAUGGAUUAACUCACAGUUUCAUAAGACCUUGGGAAAGGAGAAAAUCAAAGGAGCUGUCUUUCCCUAAUUUGGACGGAGAGUUGGUGAAAAAUGGCACCUGCUCCAAGCCAUAAUAUCUGGAAUGUGUGGCCUUCAGAAUUGCCACUGUAGAGAAGAGAAGGCUGGAAGACCCCAUGGGAUGCUUUAAGGGCUAGGCCCAGAAGUGCAAUUACGUCAUUUACAACCACCUCUCUUUGGCCAGAACCAGGUCACACAGCUCCGUUCUAACUGCAAAGGAGGCCAGGGCUUAGAAGAUCUCGUGGAUAUUUGGUGAAUACUGGCAGUCUUGCCAUAGUCAGGAAACUUCAAAAAGGGGAAAAGAUGCCCUAUGGCCACACUCCA
rnacentral:lncRNA from 1 species